AGAAGGAAGUGCAGCCUGGGCAACAUAGAGAGACCUCAUCUCUAAAAAAAAAAAUGUUAACCAGGUGUGGUGGUGGAUUGCACCUGUGAUCCCAGCAACUCAGGAGGCUGAGAUGGGAGGAUCUCUUGAGCCAGGGAGGUCAAGGCUGCAAUGAACAGUGAUUGAGCCUCUGCAGCAGAGUGAGACCCUAUUUCAAAAAAAAAAAAAAAAAAAGAAAGAAAGAAAAAAGAUCGCUGCCUGCAGCCUCAAUGUCUUAUCAAGUGCCUGAAUCUGUGCACUGGGUCUGGUUGAAUAGUCCCAUCAGUCGUGCACCUUGCAGAUAAAGAGACAGGUUCAGAGAGUUGCGGUAACUUGCCCAAGGUCACACAGUUGGCAAAUGACAAAAUAGGGCUCCAGUUUAGAUCUGUCUGAUUCCAAGGCAGAGGUUUUAUUUUUUUCCACCACUCCGCUCUGCAGUGUGGGUUUGUGAGAAAAACCUGGGCUUUGGAUUCCAAAGGCCUGAGUCUGAAUUAUAGAAUACUAAAGGGCAUUAGAACUGUCAUAUCAGAGCCACCGCGCCCGGCCAAAUAUCUACAUAACAUUGUUUAGCUGAAAUUCACAUAACAUUAACCACGUUUAAGUAAACAAUUCGGGGGCAUUUAGUACCUUCACAGUGUUGUGCAACCAUCACCUCUAUGGGGUUCCAGAACAUUUUUAUCACUCCAGAAGGAAACCCUGUACCCAUUAGCAGUCACACUCCCUCAGCCCCUGGUAACUGCUAAUCUGCUUCUCU
rnacentral:lncRNA from 1 species